AUUUACCUUUCUGAGACUUACUCUGAGAUGACAAGUGCGUAGAAUUUUUUUAAAACUGAGAUACCCCACCCGAACUGAUACGGGUGAACUAGGUGCCAUGUACUUGUGUGUUGUGACACACGAGUGCCUUGACUGUCGCGUCCCUUUUUCAUGAUGAUGAGGCCACAGCGCAUUGCUAACUGCUGUGAAACCAAGCAACAAGUCACUCCCCAGGAACAAAGGUGACGGCCACCAGGCCGCGGAGCCUUGACCUCAUCUCAUUUCCUACGUGCCGUCCACCCCAUAAUCACUGUGCCUCCAGGGAGCGUGCCCGCCAAGCAGCGCGUGCUGUCGGCCUCCUGUUUACAGAGCCUUUCUGGCGUCAGGUAGCUCCAGCUCCUGUAAUCUCUCUGAGGAUAGUGAUAGGGGCUUCCUGCUUGGGCUCACUGCUCCCAAG
rnacentral:lncRNA from 1 species